CUUGCGAAUCUCGGUGAAGAGCAAAGUCCAUUGUGCCGAGGUAUCUGUAUUGGAUAACCCAUAGGCUAAACACCCUCUUGGGAUACUUAGAGGAGUUGUGAGUAUUUUUACAUAGUGAUAUGUAAAAAUCGCUUGAUAAAAGUCAGGUGCCGAUGGGGGAUAGCGCAGGUAAUUCUUCUCUCAAAAGUUAAGACUGUGUCUUACCGCUCUCGUAAUAGACGCCUCCGGUGGGGGAAUAAUCCUUGUUAGGCGAUAGGCUGGCUACCGAAACAAACCAAGGAAAUGCCAACAAGAGAGUCCGCCAUGAUGUCUUGGAAACAAGACUAUAAGGUAAGGUCAACGAACAAGUAGCUCAACGGCGAAGAAUGUGAUUAAAUUAUUACCGGAAUGAAUAGUAAUAGGAAAUAUUCUGAAUGGUGAGUGAAAGUUGCGGGUAAGCAAUCCCGUCUAAGGAAAAAGGUGCAAAACCUGAGGUUCGUGGAAAACGAACUGCGGCAAGAAGUAUUGGGGUAGCUCCCUGAUGCUCAGACUUGUCGUCUUAGUGGUCGAAGAAACAGGGAAGAAUUAGUUGUAGAGCGAAGGCUCUCGUAAGAAUUUC
rnacentral:sRNA from 1 species